rnacentral:lncRNA from 1 species
CACACCAUAGUUGACAGUCAGGAGCAAGAAACUCCCAGAGGCCAAGCCUUUGGGUGUUGAAAAUUACUUACUGAGUAAUGUAAAGAAAGCUAAAAAAUACUAUGGUGGAUAAAUACUUUUAGAGAUUUACUGCUUUUCAGUUCUGCUAGGUCAAAUUUGGAACCAUAAUCUUGAUUAAUGGAAAGUUUUGAUGAUCUUGUACUUUGGCACAAGCAUGGUUUAAUAUUUCUUCAAAACCACUUAAUUCACCUACUUUACUUCAAGAAAACUGUCUAACAGAAGGUCUUAUUGUUCACAAACAAUAACACCCUUCAGAGUUUCAUUAAUGUUCAUUUGCAAGGAGUGUUUGUAAAGCUCAAUCAAUGUAGACUGCAUUAGGUGUGACACUGAAGGGAUUAGAGGAACAGAGAGAAGUAUGUAUAGCACAGUUUAUCUGGGAGAUAAAAAGCAGCUUAGUAGUGCUGAUGUACUUUUUCCACUCUCCAGAAGUUGUUUGAGUCCAAUAGCUGUGGACAGAAGUUCAACAAGAGGCCAACAUUUUGCUCUGCCUCAGUGGAAAAACCCAGGUCCACUCAACACUGAUUGCAUUACAAGUGACUUUCUACAAGGGUUACACUCUGAAAAAUUAUAUUUCCUUGAUGUCCAUGGAGCAAUUGCAGAUGCUCUUCAAGCACCUUGAGAAGAUAAGCUGCUGUCACAGUGCUUUACUUCCAGCUUCUAUUGUCUUCUAAGGAAGCAGAGAUUUUCAGGGAAGACUACGGGACUUGGGUCUGCCAUUGUGUUUCUGCAGGGUGAUAGCACUGCUUGCCUGCUUGCUGCACUGCUGUAGCAGGAAGAUGUCAUGCUGAGAGGAAACACAGCUGAUUCUAAAGACAGAGCGGCACAGUGGACUUCCAUGGACAUUAAAAUGCUGGUCACUACAAGAAUCUGCUACAUGGCUCGUACUGAUGCUCUUGCAUUAGCUUUUCAAAGAGCAGCAAUCCUGAAACAUGUCUGCAAUCACACCGGGGUGCCAGAAAACCUUAGGGUCAUUGUUAAGGCAUGAGUUCUGGUAUCUGCAAACAGGGCUUCCAGGAUCAAGAAUUUUUAUAGGUAUAACUAGUUAUGAUGUAAGAGACAAAAAUACACACAGAAACACAAAUAAUAUCAAAUUUCUCUAAAUAAAUUAUUAGUAAGGAAAUUAAAUAUUAUGUUU